rnacentral:rRNA from 1 species
UACGUAGGGUGCAAGCGUUAUCCGGAAUUAUUGGGCGUAAAGAGCUCGUAGGCGGUUUGUCGCGUCUGCUGUGAAAACUGGAGGCUCAACCUCCAGCCUGCAGUGGGUACGGGCAGACUAGAGUGCGGUAGGGGAGAUUGGAAUUCCUGGUGUAGCGGUGGAAUGCGUAGAUAUCGAGAGGAACACCUGCGGCGAAGGCGGGUUGCUGGGCCGACACUGACGCUGAUGCGCGAAAGCCAGGGGAGCGAACGGG